UCCCUGGUGGUCCAGUGGUUAGGACUCUGCACUUUCACCACUGAGGACCCAGGUUCAAUCCCUAGUUGGGGAA
rnacentral:tRNA from 1 species